AUACUCUAGCAGGUGAUACUCAAUUUAGCUUAGAUCAAACAAAGUCUCAAGCAGCACUUAUAGCAAGAAAUACAUUGCAAGGCUCAAGGUUGUGUUGCUAGAGCUCUUCCCCUACACUGCUAAAUGCUUGACAGAGUGGGUGUUUAAGGAACAAGCUCUUCACUGAAGAAGAUAGAGUAAAUUUGAGGUUUAAGAUAUUGUUUUUAUUCUUCUAUGAAAUAUAAUCAUACAC
rnacentral:lncRNA from 1 species